AGUCUCUGUUGAAGGCAUCGCAACGAUAAAUAAUAAUUUCACCCCAGUAAACUUGUUACCGUCUGUUUAAAUUCGCUGGUGAAUGGAAUAAAAAAGGAGGCAACGAAGAAGGAGAGAAAGGGUAUACGAAAAAAAAAAUAAAUAAAAAUCGUGUCGACCGAUUUGUCGGUGCCAGGUUCCCCGACGUCGCAUGCAAUAAUGCCAGGGAAAGCCGCAUUGAUGACUUAGUCACGAUGGUAACACCAUUUAAGUAGACCAUCACGAUCAAUAUACAGAGACAACUACGAAACCAUCCGUGGAAUUUAUGUUUGUAUCCAGUACAUGUGUGCAUUAUCUUCUGUUUCACAUCGGUGUAAGGAGACCCACAUGACGUUAUUUUGUAUGAAUACAAGGACUAUAUGCACAACUGGCGAUUCUCUCUCCAUGCGAAGGACAAAUUAGACAAAUCUGUGGGAAGCAACGGCAAUUUUUUUUUCCAGAGAACACCACACCAAUUAUCGAUGACUGAGAUUCAAUGAAGUUGAGAGGAAUGAUUGUCAUUGGGGGAGACAAAUAGUGGAAGGCAAUGAUGUUGGAAUCUAUCAAUUAGCUCGUAGUGCAGUUCAAGGUUCACACCACUGACAAGGUCACCCGAGUAAAACCAAUAAAAAUCAUCAAAGGAUGUAGUGUACACGAACCCAUCAACCUUGUCAUUUACACAAUUUCUUAACUAACGUGCGAUGCAUUCUCAAUCGAUAUUAUUUCAACACGAUACCCAUUGGUAUGAACUUGAAAAAUCCAUUAAAAAAUAUGCCUCACCAGAAAGCUAAUUCCUAGGCAUUUGUCUAAAUCAUCAAUUGAUCAGUCAUCUGCAUCAGUCAUCUAUUGAAUUUACACUGAAAAAUACAAGGCAGAAGAACGACGUCAGCUAAUGUGCCUGUGUGUAUCGUAGAGGAUUGACACGGAGACAAGAAUUACACAAUGGAAAACAACGGAAUUAGUUUUACCAGGUGGUAAGAGCUCGUGAGUCACAGGAUUCCAAAUGCACAAACCGAAAAAUAUUCACCACGUUACAAAUGAUAACGGAUAAAAAUUAUGAGGGUCAAAGGAAAAACGUGUUAUCAUUACCAUGUGAUUUAAAACUCACUUUUCAUUAUAUCUCUUGAAUAGUAAAUAGUAAUCCUCUACGGAAAAAGCAGUUAAAAAACUUAGGCAAUUCGAUUGUUAUUACCCGCUGCGCUUGUCCCCUGUAAUUAUUAAUUUUCACUCAAAAAUUUGUUGAAAAUUUGA